UCACGGUGGAGUGGGCUUGGGCUGGACGAGGACAAAGUAAGAAGCCAAAUUUGACCAUUUCCACACUAAAUGGGAGGAGAACUUGUGAAGCUGCUUCAAAAUGACAAAGUGUUCCAGCGCGUGUGUUUGCUGCAUGGGGGGCAGCUUAUAUGCUCGUAGCAAGAAGAGGGCGGGAUGAACACCUUCAAAAGAACAUUACCUCUUCGUCAUCACAUCCUCCAAUCAUCAGUGACUGACUUCCCAGAAGCCCCUGCCUGAAUGAUGACUGCGUGUCUGACCCGCUAUACUCGGAGUGACUACACCAAGACCGAGACCAGUACUUUACAAAUACUUGCUUUACAGAAUGAAUUCUUUUAGCAAAGGUGCUAAUAUUGGAUGUGGUCCGCCCUGAGUCAGCGAGGUCGAGACAUACAGCCAUUGUCGAUGAGUAGAGGGGGCGGCUGCCCGCUGGAGAGCCCCCUGCCCCGGUACUGUUGGACUGAAGGAGCAUGCGUGUCAUGCCGGAUCAUGCAGCACCCAUAAGGCCAAGCGCUGUGCCCGUGUAUACAUACUCAUAGGUGCGGUAGCAAAACCAUGCAGAGCCUCGGGGCCCCUACACAAUCCCAGCCUUAGCCGGAUUUCGGGGGCCGCAGGCAGGCAAGGGGGGGGCCACUUACCAGGGAACCUCUCUUGUAGUGACUAUACCAUGUGCCUGGCGAGUCUUUGGGCCAUUUUGCCAUUUUGCUCUGUAAAAAUAUAAGAGGCAUUCAGGGAAGGGAAAGGGACUUGGAAAGGCCGGCUUACCAGUUUACCACGUUUGAAUUCACUGAACCAGGAGCCGGGGUUCUCCUUUAACCAGGAGGUGAGUCUAGCCUGGGGGCACGGAUCGACAGAGAGGAGGAGGGAAAAACCAUUAGUGUUAAACGGGAGGGAAAGCUGAUUAUUUCACCCUUCUGGCACGGAUGUCGGUCGAUGGGAACCAGGACUAACACCUUAGGAACCGGAAUCCAAACAAUGAACAGGAAAUCACAACAUUUAGAAUUCAAACGGCGCCCAACCUUUGCGUAGAGACACGGACAAGACUACCGGAAUGGAGCGGAGCAAACCGCUGUGCCAUUUUGCCGAAAACAAACUGCAGCUGGCAGCUAAUUGCUGCUGUAAAAUUCAGGAGAUUAAUGAAGACGUGACGGCCUGCUGGGAGCGUUGAGCUCCGCCGCUUCCUGUCCAGCUAUUUAUAAAGACCAGCAGACCUCGGCGCUUUGACAGUGAUGAAUGCAUCUUUGGUUAGAUAGCAGGGCUCCAUCAACAACUGUCGUCAUUGGCUUAACGACCAAAUGACUGAUGGGGGCAGACGACGACUUCUUCAUCCAAGUGGAGCACAUGACGACUUUGUGGUUUGUUCCAUUACAUAAAGCGCUCCACUAACGAUUCCUUUCCACCUCUGGCGCAUAUGAGAGCGGUCUGCUUUGAAAAAGAGGGCUUCAUUAUGCCUGAGUUAACCUAACGGACGCUCAUUAAAAUGGCCGCCAUGCAACCUCCAACACAGCGAAGAGAAACACAUAAUGCGGCCAAUCUCAUCUUUACAUAACAAACCAAAAACAAUCGAAAUUGUGCCUGCUUCAAUGCCGGUCUGUGUGGAGAUGAAACUGGAGAUUGAGGGCGGGGCUUCUCCCUGCAUGAGACUGUUUAGCAUAAUGACUUGGCGCUCGUGGGGAGUCACAUGGGCAUUUACUGUUGGAAGAAGCCAUUAUUUAAAGAUCUAAAGAUGUUUCCCACCUCGAUGAAGCAAGAGGCUAAAAAUAAUGGGGGGGGGGGUUGAUUCACGCCACUCACCCCUUCAGACUUCUUGUCGGGGAAGAUGCAGCUCUCGCCGCCGGCUGUGAAGUUACAGUAGACUUUGAAGGAGUCCCGGGAGCAUCCCUGGUUGGGGUCGAUCCAGUACUCGCCUACCAUGGGUCCAAAGAGGUGUGACUGACUUAGAUUUGACAUACGUGUCAUCGUAACGUGGGAGAUACCAACCAUCGGGGAAGUCCGGGUGGCACAGCUGAAGGUCUUUGCAGGUGCGGGCGGGGUUGCCCUGCGUGCCCAGAGGGUGCUUCAUCUGCUCGAUCUCCAACUUGAGGGAGUUGAGCGAGCCAAAGAUCUCCUCCAUGCCAUCGUCGUAGUCCUUGUAGUUGGCGUCCACCGCCUCGUCGUCCAUCAUCUGGCUGGCAUCGAUAUUCCUGCGUGUCCUGCCCUUGCUGGGAGCCUGGAUGGGAAGAGGGUGGAUGACGUCGCCAGGGGGGCCCUAUGACGGAGACGGGGAUUGAUUAGUUUCACGUAUACCAAUCUGUAGUAAGCAAUACGCUGAUAUAAAUUACAGGAGGUCCAGGAGGUCCGGGUGUACCACUCUCUCCCUUUGGUCCAGUUUGGCCCUAAAAAGACCAAAUUCAAGAUUUGGUUGUGAAGGAUUCUAAUGAGUUUUGACUGAUUUUGAAACGUGUAGCAACCUACCGCUGACCCUUUAGCACCUUUCGGACCAGGAGGACCCUGAAGACACAAAUAUGAUUAUGCCAACCAUCUUUUGACGGAACAAGACCUAAUACUGCAUAAUGUCUACAGUCUUACGGGUAAUCCAGGAGGACCAAGUGGACCAAGUGGACCAGAAGGACCAGCGAUACCCUAAAGGAAAGAAAGUGGCGACCAGGUUGAUUCGAACGCUGGUGACUACGUUUCUACGCCUAUAAGUGUGACUUUUCACUCACGUUGUCUCCUUUGGGACCGGACGUUCCUGGUGGACCGGGAAGACCUCUGUCACCCUUUUCUCCCUGCUCGCCUGGAGGCCCGAUAAGACCAAUAAGACCAGGAUGACCCUGUUAAGGACAGAACACCAUCAUAGAUCUAAGUGGCAGUCCGGGCCCUCAAGGGUGAUAGCAGGCAAAGGACUCAGCUGAUCUUGGAAGAAACGAGUCCAUCAGUCUUUUUUUACAGUUCUCCUUUUUGGCUCACCUUCUCUCCUUUGAUGCCAGAGUCUCCUUUCAAACCAGGUAAGCCAGGGGGACCCUGUGGUUGGAGGAUUGGAGGACCGGGGUCAGUCACUGUCGCUUCAUUUCUAUCAUCGGUUCACAGUUGAACUCACCAUCGG